rnacentral:rRNA from 1 species
GAAGGUGGCCUGUGAGGGUUGCUGGAGGUAUCAGAAGUGCGAAUGCUGACAUAAGUAACGAUAAAGCGGGUGAAAAGCCCGCUCGCCGGAAGACCAAGGGUUCCUGUCCAACGUUAAUCGGGGCAGGGUGAGUCGACCCCUAAGGCGAGGCCGAAAGGCGUAGUCGAUGGGAAACGGGUUAAUAUUCCUGUACUUGGUGUUACUGCGAAGGGGGGACGGAGAAGGCUAUGUUGGCCGGGCGACGGUUGUCCCGGUUUAAGCGUGUAGGCUGGUUUUCCAGGCAAAUCCGGUUCACUUUAAAACUGAGGCGUGAUGACGAGGCACUACGGUGCUGAAGCAACAAAUGCCCUGCUUCCAGGAAAAGCCUCUAAGCAUCAGGUAACAUCAAAUCGUACCCCAAACCGACACAGGUGGUCAGGUAGAGAAUACCAAGGCGCUUGAGAGAACUCGGGUGAAGGAACUAGGCAAAAUGGUGCCGUAACUUCGGGAGAAGGCACGCUGACACGUAGGUGAAGUGAUUUACUCAUGGAGCUGAAGUCAGUCGAAGAUACCAGCUGGCUGCAACUGUUUAUUAAAAACACAGCACUGUGCAAACACGAAAGUGGACGUAUACGGUGUGACGCCUGCCCGGUGCCGGAAGGUUAAUUGAUGGGGUCAGCGCAAGCGAAGCUCCUGAUCGAAGCCCCGGUAAACGGCGGCCGUAACUAUAACGGUCCUAAGGUAGCGAAAUUCCUUGUCGGGUAAGUUCCGACCUGCACGAAUGGCGUAAUGAUGGCCAGGCUGUCUCCACCCGAGACUCAGUGAAAUUGAACUCGCUGUGAAGAUGCAGUGUACCCGCGGCAAGACGGAAAGACCCCGUGAACCUUUACUAUAGCUUGACACUGAACAUUGAGCCUUGAUGUGUAGGAUAGGUGGGAGGCUUUGAAGUGUGGACGCCAGUCUGCAUGGAGCCGACCUUGAAAUACCACCCUUUAAUGUUUGAUGUUCUAACGUGGACCCGUGAUCCGGGUUGCGGACAGUGUCUGGUGGGUAGUUUGACUGGGGCGGUCUCCUCCUAAAGAGUAACGGAGGAGCACGAAGGUUGGCUAAUCCUGGUCGGACAUCAGGAGGUUAGUGCAAUGGCAUAAGCCAGCUUGACUGCGAGCGUGACGGCGCGAGCAGGUGCGAAAGCAGGUCAUAGUGAUCCGGUGGUUCUGAAUGGAAGGGCCAUCGCUCAACGGAUAAAAGGUACUCCGGGGAUAACAGGCUGAUACCGCCCAAGAGUUCAUAUCGACGGCGGUGUUUGGCACCUCGAUGUCGGCUCAUCACAUCCUGGGGCUGAAGUAGGUCCCAAGGGUAUGGCUGUUCGCCAUUUAAAGUGGUACGCGAGCUGGGUUUAGAACGUCGUGAGACAGUUCGGUCCCUAUCUGCCGUGGGCGCUGGAGAACUGAGGGGGGCUGCUCCUAGUACGAGAGGACCGGAGUGGACGCAUCACUGGUGUUCGGGUUGUCAUGCCAAUGGCACUGCCCGGUAGCUAAAUGCGGAAGAGAUAAGUGCUGAAAGCAUCUAAGCACGAAACUUGCCCCGAGAUGAGUUCUCCCUGAGACUUAGAGUCUCCUGAAGGAACGUUGAAGACGACGACGUUGAUAGGCCGGGUGUGUAAGCGCAGCGAUGCGUUGAGCUAACCGGUACUAAUGAACCGUGAGGCUUAACCUUACAACGCCGAAG